GGAAAUCAAAAUUUGAAACCUAAUGCAGCAGAGAGAGAGAGAGUCGAGGAGAGAGAGAAAGAAUAUGACUUAAUGUAAAAGUAGCUUUAGUUAGAAUGUAUAGAAUAGAAAUUAGUUUUUGUUAAAUUCUUUUACAGGGUAGCUUUAACAACCAUUGUUACACUGCAAUGUAAAAUCACUUUUGAAGGUGUGCAUAUUACUAACUGUAUGAUCAUAUGUAUGAUAUAAAAAAUUAAAAUAUAGGAAGAAGAUGUAGAAUAUCUGUGAUCCUAUACAUUAUGAUGCUGCACUUGAACAUCAUAUCAUUAUAACUGUACAUCAAUUUUAUAUCAUAAUUAUAAUUGAACAGCAUAUUUAUAUAUUUUAUGGGUACUAAGUAUAUAUAUUUUUUUCAAUGUGUUUGAAACAUUAGAUUCAGUAAAUUUGUAUUUUGCUAUCUUAAGAAUGAUUGGAAAUGGGAUGAACAUGAAUGUUUAAAUUGCUGAACUAUUUGUACUUUUUCCUUUUCUUUUCUUUAUUUUUAUGAAAACAUGUAUUCCAUUUAUGCUGCAAACAUUUCUUGAACAUCAUUUGAUGAGGUUUUUGCUGGGAUCAGAUUUGUGAAAUGAUUUUAACGACCAAUUGAAAUCUUAAUAUGAUUUUGUGCCAUACUAAUAACAUGAGAGGACUAUAUUCCAAUGAUGUUUUUGGUACAUGUACAGAUGUACAUAUGUAUCGAUAUUACUGUGACUGUUUAAAACAGAUAUGUACAUUUACAUAAAGGCUGCAAAUUCAGUAAGAUCAUUCCAGUUGAUAUCUGAUGAACUACUGUAACGUGUUUAUAACCAGUGUAAAACAAAAUUUCAGAAGAAAAGUAAAAAAAUUCCCAACAGCAUUACCUUAAUGAUCAAACAAGGCUAUUUGUCAUAAUUUACCUUUUUUUGUAAACUAGGUUACUCUCUCUUUCAAUGGGUAUUCAGGAAAAAGCUCAUAUAUCUGUUUCAUUGGACUGUUUAUAUUCUCAUGUUGUGAUUUAGCUUGUGAUAUCAUCAUUUUUAUGAUUUUUUUUUCUCUCAGAAUCCCCCUCCCCCAACAAUCUAGCUGUGACAAACCAGUAAUAACCUGAUAUGGGAAUGGAUUGAUUUGUGUCUGUUCAGCUUUUAAAUGAAUAAAUUUAAAUCACUUUUCAUU
rnacentral:misc_RNA from 1 species